rnacentral:rRNA from 1 species
UACGUAGGGGGCAAGCGUUGUCCGGAUUUAUUGGGCGUAAAGGGCGCGUAGGCGGCCUGCUAAGUCGGAUGUGAAAUCCCUCGGCUCAACCGAGGAACUGCAGCCGAUACUGGCGGGCUUGAGUCCGGGAGAGGGAUGUGGAAUUCCAGGUGUAGCGGUGAAAUGCGUAGAUAUCUGGAGGAACACCGGUGGCGAAGGCGGCAUCCUGGACCGGUAUUGACGCUGAGGCGCGAAAGCGAGGGGAGCAAACGGG